AACUAUGGCCAUGCCACUCUGAACAAGCCUGAUCCCAUCUGAUCUCGGAAGCUAAGGAGGGUCAGGCCUGGUUAGUACUUGGAUGGGAGACCACCAAGUACUAGGAAGACCAGGUGCUGUAGGCA
rnacentral:rRNA from 1 species